CACGUAGGGGGUGAGCGUUGUCCGGAUUUAUUGGGCGUAAAGAGCUCGUAGGCGGUUCGGCAAGUCGGGUGUGAAAUUUCGAGGCUCAACCUCGAAACGCCACUCGAUACUGCUGUGACUGGAGUCCGGUAGGGGAGUGCGGAAUUCCUGGUGUAGCGGUGAAACGCGCAGAUAUCAGGAGGAACACCAACGGCGAAGGCAGCACUCUGGGCCGGUACUGACGCUGAGGAGCGAAAGCGUGGGGAGCAAACAGG
rnacentral:rRNA from 1 species